rnacentral:rRNA from 1 species
CACGUAGGGCGCAAGCGUUGUCCGGAAUUAUUGGGCGUAAAGAGCUCGUAGGCGGUUUGUUGCGUCGGCUGUGAAAUCCCGAGGCUCAACCUCGGGUCUGCAGUCGAUACGAGCAAACUAGAGUGUUGCAGGGGAGACUGGAAUUCCUGGUGUAGCGGUGAAAUGCGCAGAUAUCAGGAGGAACACCAGUGGCGAAGGCGAGUCCCUGGACGAUACCUGACACUGAGGCAACGAAAGCCCAAGGGAGCAAACAGG